GCCUGCAGUCGAACGCAGUAGCAAUACUGAGUGGCAGACGGGUGAGUAUAAUGUGGGAAUCUGCCUUUUGGUUCGGAAUAACACGGGGAAACUUGUGCUAAUACCGGAUAAGCCUUCACAGGGAAAGUUUUAAUGCCAAAAGAUGAGCCCGCACUUGAUUAGCUAGUUGGUAAGGUAAUGGCUUACCAAGGCAACGAUCAAUAGCUGUUCUUAGAGGAAGACCAGCCACAUUGGGACUGAGACACGGCCCAAACUCCUACGGGAGGCAGCAGUGGGGAAUCUUGCACAAUGGGGGAAACCCUGAUGCAGCGAUGCCGCGUGAGUGAAGAAGGCCCUUGGGUUGUAAAACUCUUUCGUCGAGGAAGAAAAUGACUGUACUCGAAUAAGAAGGUCCGGCUAACUUCGUGCCAGCAGCCGCGGUAAU
rnacentral:rRNA from 1 species